CUCCGGGAUUGCCGGGCCCCCACAAGCGUUGGACUUGUGAUUUAUUCGACCCACCGCGGAGACCCUUACCUGAGUUCGAGAUCAUUAAACACCGAGUCGACAUGACCGGGUUACCGGGGACGUAUCAGAUACUACAUGACUGUCGUCAGCUCGUGUCGUAAAUUGUUGGGUUAAGUCCCGCACCGCGCGCACCCCUUGUCACCAGUUGCUAGCAGUUCGACUAAGUACUUUGGUGGGCCCGCUGUUGUUGUUUCAGAGGCAGGUGGGGAUGACGUCAAGUCCUCAUGACCCUUCCGCUCAGGGCUACCCCCGUGCUACAUUGGUGAAUAACUUGGGGUUGCUAACCCGCGGGGGGGAGCGAACCUCAUUAAUUUCCCCUCAGUUCGGUUUGCAGUCUGCAACUCGCCUGCUUGAAGCUGGCAUCGCUCGUACCGCGGUUCGCUUGCUGCGGUGAAUCCGUUCCCGGGUCUUGUACACACCGCCCGUCACUUCCGGAAAGUAGGCUGCACUAUGAAGUGGCUGAGCUAACCCGCCAGGGAGGCAGGUUACAACGGUGUGGUCUAUGAAUUGGGGUGAAGUCGUAACAAGGUAACCCGGGCGGGCGCUCGAGCCAAGGGCG
rnacentral:rRNA from 1 species